GGGGGGAGAAUGGCUAUAUAUCACCGGUAUAAAAAAAAACACACACACAGACCCACACACGUCCUGCGUUUGUCUGGUCACGCAUUGUCUUUCACGAUCAUUGUCUUUCACGAUCGAGAUAAUACGUUGCCCAAUCUUUCACUGUCAAUUUUUAUGAAAAAUCAACAAAAUUCAGUGUUUUUAAAAACACAAUAAACGGUUUCAAGGGAAAAAAACUUUUAUUU
rnacentral:lncRNA from 1 species